rnacentral:rRNA from 1 species
GACGAACGCUGGCGGCGUGCUUAACACAUGCAAGUCGAACGGAAAGGCCCUGCUUUUGUGGGGUGCUCGAGUGGCGAACGGGUGAGUAACACGUGAGUAACCUGCCCUUGACUUUGGGAUAACUUCAGGAAACUGGGGCUAAUACCGGAUAGGAGCUCCUGCUGCAUGGUGGGGGUUGGAAAGUUUCGGCGGUUGGGGAUGGACUUGCGGCUUAUCAGCUUGUUGGUGGGGUAGUGGCUUACCGAGGCUUUGACGGGUAGCCGGCCUGAGAGGGUGACCGGCCACAUUGGGACUGAGAUACGGCCCAGACUCCUACGGGAGGCAGCAGUGGGGAAUAUUGCACAAUGGGCGGAAGCCUGAUGCAGCAACGCCGCGUGCGGGAUGACGGCCUUCGGGUUGUAAACCGCUUUCGCCUGUGACGAAGCGUGAGUGACGGUAAUGGGUAAAGAAGCACCGGCUAACUACGUG